CCUCUUUUUAACACUGAUAAGCAUUUAAAAAAAAACACUGUAAUAAAAAUUCAACAAAACCCUAUCAUCUCCGUCGUACCGGCGGCAGUUUCUCUCGGUGUCGCCAUCUCUGCUCGUCGUCUCCGUUUCAUCUCUCUGUCCACAACUAUUUCAAAUCAGAACACAAAGCUCUAUCCUCACUCACUCUUAGCUCAUCACUAUUUCAAAAUUUCGCGCCUCAAUUUCAUAUCGAUUGCACUGCACUUCCAAAAGAAUUGGUUGUGCGGUUCUUGUUUUCAUCAGAAGCAUUUUUUAAGUUUAUCGCGGUUUCUGAGUUCUGCUAUGGCUGCUGAUUCCUCUGUAAUGUUCAAUGGAAAUGGAAAUGGGAGCAUCAACCCAAUGCCUAACCUACAGAGAACUUACCAAGUGGUUGUGGCGGCCACCAAAGAUAUGGGCAUUGGUAAGGAUGGAAAGUUGCCAUGGAGAUUACCUACUGAUCUCAAGUUUUUCAAGGAGAUAACUACGACGACUUCCGAAUCUGGGAAGAAGAAUGCCAUUGUUAUGGGAAGAAAAACAUGGGAGAGUAUCCCUCUUCAGUUCAGGCCUCUUCCGGGUCGUCUUAAUGUUGUUUUGACUCGUUCAGGUAGUUUUGAUGCUAAAGCAGCGGAGAAUGUUGUAAUAUGUGGAAGUAUAUCUUCUGCAUUGGAACUUUUAGCUGCUUCUCCUUAUUGUACAUCGAUUGAGAAAAUAUUUGUUAUUGGGGGUGGUGAGAUAUUUAGAGAUGCUCUCAAUGCACCCGAAUGUGAAGCUAUCCACAUCACAGAAAUUCACACAAGCUUUGAAUGUGACACUUUUAUGCCUCCAAUUGAUUUCACUACAUUUCGGCCAUGGUACUCAUCCUUUCCUAAGGUGGAAAACAACAUCCGAUAUUCUUUCACCACUUAUGUGCGUGUAAGAAGUUCUGUAGCAGAGUCCUUGAAUCAGAGUACUGUUUCACCUCUUGAUAAUAAACCGGCUUCUAAAAAAUUUGAGGUUCAGAACUUUUCUUUUCUUCCGAAAAUGAUCUUUGAGAGACAUGAGGAGUACAUGUAUCUUAAUCUGGUUCAAGAAAUCAUAUCUCAAGGUACCUCCAAGGGUGAUAGGACAGGGACUGGGACCUUGUCAAAAUUUGGUUGCCAGAUGAGGUUCAAUCUGCGUAGAGGCUUUCCUCUUCUAACAACUAAGAGAGUAUUUUGGCGUGGGGUUGUUGAAGAGCUUCUUUGGUUUAUCAGUGGCUCAACAAAUGCCAAGGUGUUACAGGAAAAAGGCAUUCAUAUAUGGGAUGAUAAUGCAUCCAGGGAAUUCCUUGAUAGCAUUGGUUUGUCAGAGAGGGAGGAGGGUGACUUAGGACCUGUUUAUGGGUUUCAGUGGAGACACUUUGGUGCCAGGUAUACUAACAUGCAUAAUGACUAUGCCGGCCAAGGAGUUGAUCAGCUUUUAGAUGUUAUCAACAAGGUAAAGCAUAAUCCUGAUGAUAGACGGAUCAUUCUCUCUGCAUGGAAUCCAGCAGAUCUUAAAUUGAUGGCACUUCCACCCUGCCACAUGUCUGCACAGUUCUAUGUAGCAAAUGGGGAGUUAUCAUGUCAAAUGAAUCAGCGAUCUGCUGACAUGGGCCUGGGCGUGCCAUUCAACAUUGCAUCUUAUGCCCUCCUGACAUGCAUGAUUGCUCAUAUUUGUGAACUUGUUCCAGGUGAUUUUAUCCAUGUUCUUGGGGAUGCACAUGUUUACCAAACUCAUGUGAGGCCUUUGCAGGAGCAGCUUCAUAACCUGCCAAAACCUUUUCCAACUUUGAAAAUCAAUUCAAAGAAGAAAGAUAUAGAUUCUUUUGUGGCUACUGAUUUCAAGCUCAUUGACUAUGAUCCUCACCAAAAGAUUGAGAUGAAGAUGGCUGUUUAAAAUAAGAGAGAUCUUAGUCCCCACUUCAGGUUGUUUCUGCUGUUUGAAAUGAGGAGAUGGUUUUAGAUUACUUUGAUGAUUGCAUAGGAUUUGUUUGUAACGAAACAAAGUGCUCAAUUAAGAUGAUGGCAUGAUUUAUAUUAAUCUACUGCAAUUCAUUAUACCUGUUAAUUGCUGGUUUUGCAAUAAAGAAUUGUAGAGAAUGCUGAGGCACAACAAAUAGGUUUAUGGAGUAACAUCAAUUUGUUGAACGCACGUUAAUGCAGUCAAGUCAUACCAAUAAUUUAACAGAAAUUGUGUACACCAGAACCCAUCUUGAGAAUAGAUUUACAUGUGCAACUGAUUUGGAAGCAUAGCUAAUUAUUAUUAGGAAGUGUUUCAAGAGAGUUAUAAAGCAUAGGGUUAAGAUCAUUUCUAUUUCUCAAAAAGUACUAACUAGUAAUUAAUGAGCUUUUAAAGCCAUUUGCCAAAUGCUUUAAUUUUAUGCCAGUUCAUCUAAAAGAUACAAAAAUGUCGCCCAAACAACUCCAUUUUACAUCUGUCUUUGUUAUUUUUGUAAUUUAUUGGGCUAUUUAAGUUAAAGUGACAGAUUUAGGGUA